rnacentral:rRNA from 1 species
UUGGAGAGUUUGAUCCUGGCUCAGGACGAACGCUGGCGGCGUGCUUAACACAUGCAAGUCGAACGAAGAGCGAUGGAAGCUUGCUUCUAUCAAUCUUAGUGGCGAACGGGUGAGUAACGCGUAAUCAACCUGCCCUUCAGAGGGGGACAACAGUUGGAAACGACUGCUAAUACCGCAUACGAUCUAACCUUGGCAUCGAGGAUGGAUGAAAGGUGGCCUCUAUUUAUAAGCUAUCACUGAAGGAGGGGAUUGCGUCUGAUUAGCUAGUUGGAGGGGUAACGGCCCACCAAGGCGAUGAUCAGUAGCCGGUCUGAGAGG